GUGCUCACUUUGGCAGCACACAUACUAAAAUUGGAACGAUACAGAGAAGAUUAGCAUGGCCCAUGUGCAAGAAUGACAUGAAAAUUCAUGAAGCGGUCCAUAUUUUU
ensembl:snRNA Gm23002 predicted gene, 23002